rnacentral:lncRNA from 1 species
CCCCAUCCCCAAGCAGGACCUGUCCCCGUCCCCAAGCAGGACCCAUCCCCGAACAGGACCUGUCCCCAUCCUGUCCCCAAGUAGGACCCAUCCUGGAGCAGGACCUGCCUCCAAGUGGGACCUGUCCCCAUCCCCAGGCAGGACCCGUCCCCAAGCAGGACCCAUCCCUGAGCAGGACCUGUCCCCAUCCUGUCCCCAAGUAGGACCCAUCCUGGAGCAGGAACUGUCCCCAUCCCAUCCCCAAGCAGGACCUGUCCCCACCCCAGGCAGAACCCAUCCGGAGCAGGACCUGUCUCCAAGUGGGACCUGUUCCCGUCCCCAGGCAGGACCUGUCCCCAUCCCCGAGCAGGACCUGUCCCCAUCCCCGAGCAGGACCUGUCCCCAGGCAGGACCUGUUCCCAUCCCCAAGCAGGACCUGUCCCCAAGCAGGACCUGUUCCCAUCCCCAAGUGGGGCCUCUCCCCGAGCAGGACCUGUCCCAGUCCCCAGGCAGGACCUGUCCUCAAGCAGGACCUGUCCCCGUCCCCAGGCAGGACCUGUUCCCAUUCCCAUGCAGGACCUGUCCCCGUCCCCAGGCAGGACCUGUGCAUUUGGGAUCACUCGAGCUCGCGUCCCCGUGCGGGGCACACGCUGCGUCUCUUUGGGAUGGCCCCGUCCCACGCAGUCAGCCGAGCCGUGCAUGCGUCCGUGCGCAUCCCCCCCCGGCGCAGGUAGCGCCGUCCCCGUGUCCCCGUGUCACCGCCACCCCCGCCCCACUGAGCCCCCGACUCUUCUCCCCACAGCGCUGAUACCCGGCUGCGGUUCCUGGGUCCAGAAGCCGCAGACGCCGGGAGCGGGUAACGUCAGCGCCGGAGCCGGGGCGCGGGGCUGUCCCUGAGCCGUGCUGCUGCUGCUUCGCCAGGCGUCCGGUGCCGCGAUCUUCCCCUGGCAGUGCCCUGGGGGUGUGGGGCCGGCCCCGGGCUAUGGGGCGCGCGGGGUUUCUCAUCCUCCGGUGCCGAGGGGUUUGUUUCUUUUGGGCUUCUGCUUGGUGUCGGUGUCGGUGUCGGUCGCCGGACGGUGUCUCCCAGAGAACCGGGAGCGGGCGGGC